rnacentral:tRNA from 1 species
UGGUGUCAUAGAGGGGCACGGCGGCCUGGCACGCCCCCACCAACAGGGCGAUCUCGGUGCAACCCAGGAUCACCGCCUGGGCACCGGCC